UGUUCUAUUUGUGGCAUGGAGGAUGAAAAUACCUUCCAUGCGCUUGUCUUGUGCCCGAAGGCGCGUGCGCUUUGCAUGGCCAUGAGGAACAUUUGGGCUCUACCUGAUGAGGAGGUUUUCAGAUAUACGGGGUAUGAUUGGUUUAUUGUUCUCCUGAGUCAAUUAAACCCCGUAAUGCGAGACCAGAUUAUAUUUUUAUUCUGGAGGACCUGGCAUUUGAGAAAUGAUUUGAUCUUUGCUAAAGGAAAGGAAUCAAUUUCAGCUUCUGCUUGCUUUGUGGAGAGUUAUUGGGCGUCCUUUGGUGCAUAUGCGAGUAGUGGCUGGUCCCCGCCUCCUGCAGGUUGGUUCAAGAUUAAUGUCGAUGCUAGCUUCGUGGAGUCCAUUAGAGAAGCCAGUGUGGGGGUGGUGGUCAGGGACGAGGAAGGGGAAGUUAUUGUUUCGUCGUGGGAUUUCAUUGGGGCCUGUCAAAGCGUGGAGGAAGCGGAGCUUAGAGCUUGUGAAAGGAUCGAUAUAGUUGACUAG
rnacentral:rRNA from 1 species